rnacentral:rRNA from 1 species
CCUACGGGUGAGCAGCAGUGGGGAAUAUUGGACAAUGGGCGAAAGCCUGAUCCAGCCAUGCCGCGUGUGUGAAGAAGGCCUUCGGGUUGUAAAGCACUUUCAGUGGGGAAGAAAGCCUUGGGGCUAAUACCCUCGAGGAAGGACAUCACCCACAGAAGAAGCACCGGCUAACUCCGUGCCAGCAGCCGCGGUAAUACGGAGGGUGCGAGCGUUAAUCGGAAUUACUGGGCGUAAAGCGCGCGUAGGCGGUCUGAUAAGCCGGUUGUGAAAGCCCCGGGCUCAACCUGGGAACGGCAUCCGGAACUGUCAGGCUAGAGUGCAGGAGAGGAAGGUAGAAUUCCCGGUGUAGCGGUGAAAUGCGUAGAGAUCGGGAGGAAUACCAGUGGCGAAGGCGGCCUUCUGGACUGACACUGACGCUGAGGUGCGAAAGCGUGGGUAGCAAACAGGAUUAGAACCCUAGUAGUC